rnacentral:rRNA from 1 species
GUUCAUGGCCACAGCACCCUGACUGCACCCAAUCCCAUCUCGGAAGCUAAGCAGGAUUGGGCCCCAUUGGUCCUUGGAUGGGAGUUGUUUCUC